rnacentral:rRNA from 1 species
GGGGACUUGGGUCGGACAGUUACGAGUCGGACCUGCCCGGUGACUAAGUGUUAAACGGCCGCGGUACCCUGACCGUGCAAAGGUAGCAUAAUCAUUUGCCUUUUAAUUGGAGGCUGGUAUGAAUGGUUUGACGAGAGCUAAACUGUCUCUUUUAAAAUAAGUAGAAUUUAACUUUUAGGUGAAGAGGCCUAAAUUCAUUUGAGGGACAAGAAGACCCUAUCGAGCUUUAGUGAUAUUGUAAAUUAGAGGGGCAAAUAUAGGUGAGCCCUUAAUGUGUUGUUGAAAAUGUAGUUUGUAUAAUCUCUUUUUGCAAAGAAUCUUUAGUUGGGGCGACUGAGGAACAGAGAGAGCUUCCUUGAAUGGGCUGAGCUAUAAGUGCUACUAGAUUGAAGAGUUGUACGUAAUGGUGUUGAUCCAAAACUUUUGAUUAAGGGAAAAAGUUACCGUAGGGAUAACAGCGUAAUCUUUCUGGAGAGAUCAUAUCGAAAGAAGGGUUUGCGACCUCGAUGUUGGACUAAGAUAUCCGGAGGGUGUAGAAGCUCUCAAAGGUUGGUCUGUUCGACCAUUAAAAUCUU